rnacentral:rRNA from 1 species
AGCGGCGGACGGGUGAGUAACGCGUGGGUAACCUGCCCUAUGGAGGGGGAUAACACAGAGAAAUCUGUGCUAAUACCGCAUAAGCGCACAGUAUCGCAUGAUACGGUAGUGAAAAACUCCGGUGCCAUAGGAUGGACCCGCGUCUGAUUAGCUAGUUGGUGGGGUAAAGGCCUACCAAGGCGACGAUACAGNAGCCGACCUGAGAGGGUAGAUACGGCCACAUUAGGACU